GCCAGGGUGAUGUAGUGGUUUGAGCAUUGGACUAGGACUCUGGAGACCAGAGUUUGAAUCUCAGCUCAGCCA